UUGGAAGGGCGGAGGAUCGCUUUCGUUUUUAACGGGAGAGGAAAGUCCGAACACCACAGGACGCGAUGCCGCGUAACCCCGGUUCGGCCGGGGAUAUACGCUGGGCAGUUCAUCCGCGAGGAUGGCUGACGGAAAGUGCCACAGAGAAUAUACCGCCUGAGGCUUGCUUCAGGUAAGGGUGAAAAGGUGGGGUAAGAGCCCACCGCGCCAAGCGCAAGUGAGGCGGCACGGUAAACCCCAUCGGGUGCAAGGCCAAAUAGGGGGCCAGGGACGGUCCGUCCUGCGAUCGGAAACGAUCACGGCUCCGGGUAGGGUCGCAACAGAUAAAUGAUCCUCUCCACCGCUUGCGGUGAAGACAAAAUUCGGCUUACAGCCCUUCCAAGAUU
rnacentral:RNase_P_RNA from 1 species